AGUGAACGCUGGCGGUAGGCCUAACACAUGCAAGUCGAACGGCAGCACAAUAAGAGCUUGCUCUUACGGGUGGCGAGUGGCGGACGGGUGAGGAAUACAUCGGAAUCUACUUUUUCGUGGGGGAUAACGUAGGGAAACUUACGCUAAUACCGCAUACGACCUACGGGUGAAAGCAGGGGUUUUUCGGACCUUGCGCGAUUGAUUGAGCCGAUGUCGGAUUAGCUAGUUGGCGGGGUAAAGGCCCACCAAGGCGACGAUCCGUAGCUGGUCUGAGAGGAUGAUCAGCCACACUGGAACUGGGACACGGUCCAGACUCCUACGGGAGGCAGCAGUGGGGAAUAUUGGACAAUGGGCGCAAGCCUGAUCCAGCCAUACCGCGUGGGUGAAGAAGGCCUUCGGGUUGUAAAGCCCUUUUGUUGGGAAAGAAAAGCAGCAGGUUAAUACCCCGCUGUUCUGACGGUACCCAAAGAAUAAGCACCGGCUAACUUCGUG
rnacentral:rRNA from 1 species